rnacentral:rRNA from 1 species
GAGUUUGAUUCUGGCUCAGGAUGAACGCUGGCGGCGUGCCUAACACAUGCAAGUCGAGCGCGGUUGUGCUUAGUAUUGAGUGUUUUAUUGAUAUAAAACAUUGAAUUCUAUGCACAACUGAGCGGCGGACGGGUGAGUAACGCGUGGGUAACCUGCCCUAUACACAUGGAUAACAUACUGAAAAGUUUACUAAUACAUGAUAAAAUAGUUUUUCGGCAUCGAAGAAUUAUCAAAGUGUUAGCGGUAUAGGAUGGACCCGCGUCUGAUUAGCUAGUUGGUGAGAUAACUGCCCACCAAGGCAACGAUCAGUAGCCGACCUGAGAGGGUGAUCGGCCACAUUGGAACUGAGACACGGUCCAAACUCCUACGGGAGGCAGCAGUGGGGAAUAUUGCACAAUGGGCGCAAGCCUGAUGCAGCAACGCCGCGUGAACGAUGAAGGUCUUCGGAUCGUAAAGUUCUGUUGCAGGGGAA